rnacentral:rRNA from 1 species
AUACGGAGGGUGCAAGCGUUGUUCGGAAUUAUUGGGCGUAAAGAGCAUGUAGGCGGUCUGUUAAGUCUGGUGUGAAAGCCCGGGGCUCAACCCCGGAAGUGCAUUGGAUACUGGCAGACUUGAGUAUGGGAGAGGAAAGUGGAAUUCCGAGUGUAGGAGUGAAAUCCGUAGAUAUUCGGAGGAACACCAGUGGCGAAGGCGGCUUUCUGGACCAAUACUGACGCUGAGAUGCGAAAGCGUGGGGAGCGAACAGGAUUAGAUACCCGGGUAGUCC